UACGUAGGGAGCGAGCGUUGUCCGGAUUUACUGGGUGUAAAGGGUGCGUAGGCGGCAAUGCAAGUCAGGCGUGAAAGCUCGGGGCUUAACCCCGAAACUGCGCUUGAAACUGUGUUGCUUGAGUGAAGUAGAGGUAGGCGGAAUUCCCGGUGUAGCGGUGAAAUGCGUAGAGAUCGGGAGGAACACCAGUGGCGAAGGCGGCCUACUGGGCUUUAACUGACGCUGAGACACGAAAGCAUGGGUAGCAAACAGG
rnacentral:rRNA from 1 species